GGUGAUGUAGAUAGAGUUGACGGAUCUGAAAAGAUGAUCCCAGACUACAGCAGACUGGAUCCGCGUUCAGAUGAUGAAGACACGGAUUUUGAAGAGGAUUGUCCGCAUGACUGGAUCAACCACCUAGAGAAAGCGCUUGAUGAGCAUGACUAAUAUAAUGUGAGUUAUUAAAUGUGUACGCACCACUUUAUUUCUGUUUGAUCAGUCUCUUUCUAAUACUCUUAAUAAAUCAUAAAAAUGUAACAACA